UACGUAGGGGGCAAGCGUUGUCCGGAUUUAUUGGGCGUAAAGAGCGUGUAGGCGGCCAGACAGGUACGCUGUGAAAACUCGAGGCUCAACUUCGAGCUGUCGGUGGAAACUUUCUGGCUAGAGUCCGGAAGAGGAGAAUGGAAUUCCUGGUGUAGCGGUGAAAUGCGCAGAUAUCAGGAAGAACACCCGUGGCGAAGGCGGUUCUCUGGGACGGUACUGACGCUGAGACGCGAAAGCGUGGGGAGCGAACAGG
rnacentral:rRNA from 1 species